GAUGAAGAACGCAGCGAAUUGCGAUAAGUAAUGUGAAUUGCAGAUUUUCAGUGAAUCAUCGAAUCUUUGAACGCACCUUGCGCCCUUUGGCUAUUCUGAAGGGCAUGCCUGUUUGAGUAUCGUGAACACCUCAACUCUCAUGGUCUGCCAUGAUGAGCUUGGACUUUGGGGGUCUUGCUGGCCUACUGUCAGCUCCUCUCAAAUGAAUCAGCUUACCAGUGUUUGGUGGCACCACAGGUGUGAUAACUAUCUACGCUUGUGGUUUUCUGCCAGGUAACCUCCAGUGAUGGAGGUUCGCUGGAGCUCACAAAUGUCUCUCCUCAGCGAGGACAGCUUUUUGAACGUUUGAUCUCAAAUCAGGUAGGACUACCCGCUGAACUUAAGCAUAUCAAUAAGCGGAGGA
rnacentral:misc_RNA from 1 species